UUGACUGAGUGGCGGACGGGUGAGUAACGCGUGGGUAACCUGCCUCACACAGGGGGAUAACAGUUGGAAACGACCGCUAAUACCGCAUAACCCGCUGGUACCGCAUGGUACUGACGGAAAAGAUUUAUCGGUGUGAGAUGGACCCGCGUCUGAUUAGCCAGUUGGCAGGGUAACGGCCUACCAAAGCGACGAUCAGUAGCCGGCCUGAGAGGGUGAACGGCCACAUUGGGACUGAGACACGGCCCAAACUCCUACGGGAGGCAGCAG
rnacentral:rRNA from 1 species